CUGAAGUUUACCUGUGGAAAUGAAAGCAGUUUUUGGAUUAGUUAUGGAUCACUCGUCAAAGUUGCCAACACUCUCUGCUGAUUUAUAUCAGCAUUGGGUGUGUAUUUUAUCAUGCAAGUGAUAAACUGAUUUUUUUUCGGGUUCAUGAAUGAGAGGAAGAUGAGGAGGAUUAAAUCGAUUGGUGGAGCAGGGCCUCGCUAAAUGCUAAUACAGGAUGCUUUGUGCACUAUGCUGGCUACUGCCCAUGGAAUUUGUUAUUCAUACUUAACUAAGAAACUCCAACUAGUGGAGGUUGAGAAACCUUGGAACUUACUGACACAAACUCAGUUUGUUAUUAAAAAUCUUUACAUCUUUUAUUGUUGCUAUUGUGAAUAUGAUGUACUAACAUAUUUCGUGUG